AUACGGAGGAUCCGAGCGUUAUCCGGAUUUAUUGGGUUUAAAGGGUGCGCAGGCGGCCAUUUAAGUCAGCGGUUAAAUCGUGGGGCUCAACCCCAUUCUGCCGUUGAUACUGGGUGGCUUGAUUGCGGUCGAGGUUGGCGGAAUUCGUUGUGUAGCGGUGAAAUGCAUAGAUAUGACGAAGAACACCGAUUGCGUAGGCAGCUGACCAGACCGCAAAUGACGCUCAUGCACGAAAGUGCGGGGAUCGAACAGGAUUAGAUACCCUGGUAGUCCGCACAGUAAACGAUGAAUACUUGUUUUCGGCGAUAUAAUGUCGGAGGCAAAGCGAAAGCGAUAAGUAUUCCACCUGGGGAGUAUGCCGGCAACGGUGAAACUCAAAUGAAUUGGCGGGG
rnacentral:rRNA from 1 species